GAUGAACGCUGGCGGCGUGCCUAAUACAUGCAAGUCGAGCGAAUGGAUUAAGAGCUUGCUCUUAUGAAGUUAGCGGCGGACGGGUGAGUAACACGUGGGUAACCUGCCCAUAAGACUGGGAUAACUCCGGGAAACCGGGGCUAAUACCGGAUAACAUUUUGAACCGCAUGGUUCGAAAUUGAAAGGCGGCUUCGGCUGUCACUUAUGGAUGGACCCGCGUCGCAUUAGCUAGUUGGUGAGGUAACGGCUCACCAAGGCAACGAUGCGUAGCCGACCUGAGAGGGUGAUCGGCCACACUGGGACUGAGACACGGCCAAGACUCCGACGGGAGGCAGCAGUCGGGAAUCUUCCGCAAUGGACGAAAGUCUGACGGAGCAACGCCGCGUGAGUGAUGAAGGCUUUCGGGUCGUAAAACUCUGUUGUUAGGGAAGAACAAGUGCUAGUUGAAUAAGCUGACACCUUGACGGUACCUAACCAGAAAGCCACGGCUAACUACGUGCCAGCAGCCGCCGUAA
rnacentral:rRNA from 1 species